rnacentral:rRNA from 1 species
UACGGGGGUGGCAAGCGUUACUCGGAUUUAUUGGGUGUAAAGGACAGGUAGGCGGCUAUGCAAGUUGGAGGUGAAAUCCUAAGGCUCAACCUUAGAACUGCCUUCAAUACUGCAUAGCUUGAGGCCAGAAGAGGAAAGCGGAAUUCCCGGUGUAAGGGUGAAAUCUGUAGAUAUCGGGAGGAACACCAGUGGCGAAAGCGGCUUUCUGGUCUGGUUCUGACGCUGAGCUGUGAAAGCUAGGGGAGCAAACAGG